rnacentral:lncRNA from 1 species
UCUGAAGCCACAGCCUUAAAUGACUUCUGUUCGUCCCCAAAUCUCACCUCCUGGUAUUCCCACUUGUAUGGAAUCCCUUCCUCUUGAGUGGGGGCUGGACCUAGCAACUUGCUUCUAAUGAGUAGAACACAGAAAAAUGAAUGGGAAAUCACUUCUAUGAUUAGAUUAUGAAACACUGCUAGCAGUCUCUUGCACUCUCUGUCUCGUGAGCGUACGUAAAACUGGAGACAUCUGAAUGAGGGUGCUGAGUUGUAUCAAUGUCAGUAUGAGGUUGUGAAAUUAUACUGUGGUUUUUAAGAUGCUAUCAUUGGGGGAAACUAGGAAAAGAGUGUAUAUGAUCUAUGAUCAUUCUGUAUUAUUCCUUCCAACUAAAUGUGAAUCUGUAAUUAUCUCAAUAAACAUUGUAAUUUUUAAGUGAGAUGAGCAUUUUUAUUACUUACUAUUUAUUUAUUCAUUUAUUUAUUUUUCUUGAUUAUAGAGAUGGGGGAAUCUCACUGUGUUUCCCAGGCUGGUCUCAAACUCCUGGGCUCAAGUGAUCUUCCCACCUCAGCCUCCCAAAUCUAGAGAUUCCUCCAGGUGGUCAGUCUAUUCUGCAAGGUCUUUGGAUUCCUCAAAAACCUGCACUGGUUGUCUGGGAGACUCAUCCGUGUUCUCAUGUGGGCUCUGCUGGUGUCUGUAGUGUCUUUCCAUUACAUCUGACCAGAGUGCAAAGAGGUGGAACUGACCUUCGACCUCGGGGGACGGCAGAUCCUGGUGGUUACCAGUGGGUGCAUACCUCCCCUUGACCUGGUUCCAGUGAGCCCUGCCACUGUCUUACUUGGGUUCCUCAGGGCCC